UUAAGUGACUAAGCGUGCACGGUGGAUGCCUUGGCAAUUGGAGGCGAUGAAGGACGUGUUAAUCUGCGAUAAGCUAUGACGAGUCGAUAAAAGACGCAUGAGUUAUAGAUUUCCGAAUGGGGCAACCCACCCUUUUAGGGUAUCUUAAUGUGAAUAUAUAGCAUUAAGAAGCGAACCGGGAGAACUGAAACAUCUAAGUACCCCGAGGAAAAGAAAUCAACCGAGAUACCGAAAGUAGCGGCGAGCGAAAUCGGUGCAGCCGAUAAGAUUAAGUCCAGCAGAACAUUCUGGAAAGUUUGGCCAUAGCAGGUGACAGCCCUGUAUGCGAAAGACUUAAGCUUACAUAUUAAGUAGGUCGGGACACGUGAUAUCCUGACUGAAGAUGGGGGGACCAUCCUCCAAGGCUAAAUACUCCCAAUUGACCGAUAGUGAACCAGUACCGUGAGGGAAAGGCGAAAAGAACCCCUGUGAGGGGAGUGAAAUAGAACCUGAAACCGUGUACGUACAAGCAGUGGGAGCUCUUCGGAGUGACUGCGUACCUUUUGUAUAAUGGGUCAGCGACUUAUAUUUUGUAGCGAGGUUAACCGAAUAGGGAAGCCGUAGCGAAAGCGAGUCUUAACUGGGCGCUUAGUUGCAAGGUAUAGACCCGAAACCCGGCGAUCUACCCAUGGGCAGGUUGAAGGUUGAGUAACAUCAACUGGAGGACCGAACUCACUAACGUUGAAAAGUUAGGAGAUGACUUGUGGGUCGGAGUGAAAGGCUAAUCAAGCCGGGAGAUAGCUGGUUCUCCCCGAAAGCUAUUUAGGUAGCGCCUCGGACGAAUACCACUGGGGGUAGAGCACUGUUAAGGCUAGGGGGUCAUCCCGACUUACCAACCCUUUGCAAACUCCGAAUACCAGUGAGUACUAUCCGGGAGACACACGGCGGGUGCUAACGUCCGUCGUGAAGAGGGCAACAACCCAGACCGCCAGCUAAGGUCCCAAAUACCAAUUAAGUGGGAAACGAUGUGGGAAGGCUUAGACAGCUAGGAGGUUGGCUUAGAAGCAGCCACCCUUUAAAGAAAGCGUAAUAGCUCACUAGUCGAGUCGGCCUGCGCGGAAGAUGUAACGGGGCUAAAUUGGUAACCGAAGCUGCGGAUUUAAUCUUAGAUUAAGUGGUAGGGGAGCGUUCUGUAAGUGGAUGAAGGUGUGUUGUAAAGCAUGCUGGACAUAUCAGAAGUGCGAAUGCUGACAUGAGUAACGAUAAAGCGGGUGAAAAACCCGCUCGCCGAAAGACCAAGGUUUCCUGUCCCAUGCUAAUCAGGGCAGGGUAAGUCGGCCCCUAAGGUGAGGGCGAAAGCCGUAAUCGAUGGGAAACGGGUUAAUAUUCCCGUACUUUUAUUGACUGCGAUGGAGAGACGGAGAAGGCUAAACUGGCUUGGCGAUGGUUGUCCAAGUGAAAAGUUGUAGGUUGAGGGCUUAGGCAAAUCCGGGCCCUUAAGACUGAGAACUGAGACGAGUAUCUACGGAUACGAAGCAGUUGAUGCCCGGCUUCCAGGAAAAUCUUCUAAGCUUCAGGUCAAUAAAAACCGUACCCCAAACCGACACAGGUGGUCAGGUAGAGAAUACUAAGGCGCUUGAGAGAACCCGGGUGAAGGAACUAGGCAAAAUAGUACCGUAACUUCGGGAGAAGGUACGCCACGUUAUUGUGAAAGGCUUAACGUCUGGAGCGAGAGGUGGUCGAAGUAACCAGGUGGCUGGAACUGUUUAUUAAAAACACAGCACUCUGCUAAUUCGAAAGAAGACGUAUAGGGUGUGACACCUGCCCGGUGCCGGAAGGUUAAUUGAUGGGGUUAUCCAUAUGGAGAAGCUCUUGAUCGAAGCCCCGGUAAACGGCGGCCGUAACUAUAACGGUCCUAAGGUAGCGAAAUUCCUUGUCGGGUAAGUUCCGACCUGCACGAAUGGUGUAAUCAUGGCCACGCUGUCUCCACCCGGGACUCAGUGAAAUUGAACUUGCUGUGAAGAUGCAGUGUACCCGCGGCUAGACGGAAAGACCCCGUGAACCUUUACUACAGCUUGGCAGUGAACAUUGAACCUACAUGUGUAGGAUAGGUGGGAGGCUAUGAAUCAGCGUCGCUAGAUGUUGUGGAGCCAUCCUUGAAAUACCACCCUUGUAUGUUUGAUGUUCUAACCUCGGCCCAUCAUCUGGGUCAGGGACACUGCCUGGUGGGUAGUUUGACUGGGGCGGUCUCCUCCCAAAUAGUAACGGAGGAGCACGAAGGUUGGCUAAGUACGGUCGGACAUCGUACGGUUAGUGCAAUGGCAUAAGCCAGCUUAACUGCGAGACAGACACGUCGAGCAGGUGCGAAAGCAGGUCAUAGUGAUCCGGUGGUUCUGAAUGGAAGGGCCAUCGCUCAACGGAUAAAAGGUACUCCGGGGAUAACAGGCUGAUACCGCCCAAGAGUUCAUAUCGACGGCGGUGUUUGGCACCUCGAUGUCGGCUCAUCACAUCCUGGGGCUGAAGUCGGUCCCAAGGGUAUGGCUGUUCGCCAUUUAAAGUGGUACGCGAGCUGGGUUUAGAACGUCGUGAGACAGUUCGGUCCCUAUCUGCCGUGGGCGUUUGAGAAUUGAGGGGGGCUUCUCCUAGUACGAGAGGACCGGAGUGGACGAACCUCUGGUGUUCCGGUUGUUCUGCCAAGAGCAUUGCCGGGUAGCUAAGUUCGGAAUCGAUAACCGCUGAAAGCAUCUAAGCGGGAAGCGAGCCCCAAGAUGAGUUUUCACAGACCCUAGAGGUCCUGUAGGGCCCUUGUAGACUACAAGGUUGAUAGGUUGGGUGUGUAAGUGCUGUGAGGCAUUGAGCUAACCAAUACUAAUUGCCCGUGCGGCUUAACCAU
rnacentral:rRNA from 1 species